rnacentral:rRNA from 1 species
UACGAAGGGGGCUAGCGUUGCUCGGAAUCACUGGGCGUAAAGGGUGCGUAGGCGGGUCUUUAAGUCAGGGGUGAAAUCCUGGAGCUCAACUCUGGAACUGCCUUUGAGACUGAGAGGCUUGAGUACGGGAGAGGUGAGUGGAAUUCCCAGUGUAGGGGUGAAAUUCGUAAAUAUUGGGAAGAACACCGGUGGCGAAGGCGGCUCACUGGCCCGAAACUGACGCUCAUGCACGACAGCGUGGGGAUCAAACAGG